rnacentral:lncRNA from 1 species
GAAGUUUACUGAUCCUAUAAGGAGAUAAUUUUAGCAGUACCAAACGAUACAGUUCAUUCAUAAUAUAAAAUAUUUAUACAAACUAUCCUAGUUCAGUAUCACAUCACACAACCACAGUGAGAUAUAUCCUUGUGUUUAUUGGGUGGAUGCAUGUAUAGCACCUACAGUUGAGACCAUGGAAUCCACUCCACAUACAUUUCGACCUCUGCAGAUCUUGUAGUAUCCAUUCUCUCCCCAGUUCUCCCCCCACGAGUUCUUGAUGAUCCAGUAAGGCUUUUCCUUAAAACGAAUGGGAGCAUAUGCACCUUCACCAUAACCCACUAAAAGAACCCC